rnacentral:rRNA from 1 species
GAAUGGCAAGGGGUGUUGCAACCUCCUAGAAUGGCGGANUGGUGAGUAANAGUGGGUGACAUACCUUCAGGACGGGGAUAGCUUCUAGAAAUAGAAGAUAAUACCGGAUACGACCACUACCGUUAGAGGGUAGUGAGGAAAGGGGCUACGGCCCCGCCUGAGGAAUGGCCCGCGGCCCAUUAGCUUGUUGGUGAGGUAACGGCCCACCAAGGCGAUGACGGGUAUCCGGCCUAAGAGGGUGAACGGACACAUUGGGACUGAGAUACGGCCCAGACUCCUACGGGAGGCAGCAGCUAAGAAUAUUCCGCAAUGGGCGAAAGCCUGACGGAGCGACGCCGCGUGGAUGAUGAAGGCCGUGAGGUUGUAAAGUCCUUUUGAACCUGACGAAUAAGCGCGGGAGGGAAUGCCCGCGUGGUGACGUUAGGGNUCGAAUAAGC